GUAGGGUGCGAGCGUUAAUCGGAAUUACUGGGCGUAAAGCGUGCGCAGGCGGUUUUGUAAGACAGGCGUGAAAUCCCCGGGCUCAACCUGGGACCUGCAUUUGUGACUGCAAGGCUAGAGUACGGUAGAGGGGGAUGGAAUUCCGCGUGUAGCAGUGAAAUGCGUAGAUAUGCGGAGGAACACCGAUGGCGAAGGCAAUCCCCUGGACCUGUACUGACGCUCAUGCACGAAAGCGUGGGGAGCAAACAGGAUUAGAUACCCUGGUAGUCCACGCCCUAAACGAUGUCAACUGGUUGUUGGGUCUUUACUGACUCAGUAACGAAGCUAACGCGUGAAGUUGACCGCCUGGGGAGUACGGCCGCAAGGUUG
rnacentral:rRNA from 1 species